AGUAAAAGUCGUAACAAGGUUUCUGUAGGUGAACCUGCAGAAGGAUCAUUAGUGAAUUACUAGAGCGUCCUUCGGGAGCUCGAAAACCACUUUUAAACACACCACCCUUAACGAGAACUGUAUAUUUUUAACGCCGCUAGUAGUAUCAGCAAGGCUCCUGUGCAUACAGGCAAAAUUAAACAAAUAAAACUUUCAACAACGGAUGUCUUGGCUCUCGCAUCGAUGAAGAACGCAGCGAAAUGUGAUAAGUAAUGUGAAUUGCAGAAUUCAGUGAAUCAUCGAAUCUUUGAACGCAUCUUGCGCUCUUUGGUAUUCCGAAGAGCAUGCCUGUUUGAGUGUCAUGAAACUCUCAACCCCACAGGUUUCGUAAUGAGACCUUGUGCGGGCUUGGAUCCUGAGCGUUGUAGGUGUAUAACCGGCUCGUUCGAAAUGCAUUAGCGAUCACGCACUUGGCGUUGGUUUGACUUGAAGUGAUAGUAAACAUUUCCUUCAAGGACACUUCCCCUCAAAAGGACAGUGACCACGCUUGGAGCCGGAACGCUUAUAAAAACCCCUUUAUUAUCAUGAUUAGACCUCAAAUCAGGUAGGACUACCCGCUGAACUUAAGCAUAUCAAUAAGCGGAGGA
rnacentral:rRNA from 1 species